rnacentral:rRNA from 1 species
AUACGGGGGAUGCAAGCGUUAUUCGGAAUCAUUGGGCGUAAAGGGCACGCAGGCGGUUCUGUCAGUCAGAUGUGAAAGCCCGGGGCUUAACCCCGGACGUGCAUUUGAAACAGCAGGACUUGAGUAUGGUAGAGGAAAGCGGAAUUCCUGGUGUAGAGGUGAAAUUCGUAGAUAUCAGGAGGAACACCGGUGGCAAAGGCGGCUUUCUGGACCAAAACUGACGCUGAGGUGCGAAGGCGUGGGUAGCGAACAGGAUUAGAAACCCGUGUAGUCC